ACCAAGUUUGUAGCUAUCGGCGCAGAGCGGCGGCAGAGCUCGGAUUUGAAGCUGGCCCCUUCGGGGACCGCAUUGUAAUUUGCAGAGGAUGCUUCGGGAGCGGCCCCCAUCUAAGUGCCCUGGAACGGGCCGUCAUAGAGGGUGAGAAUCCCGUCUGGGAUGGGGUGCCCGCGCCCGUGUGAAGCUCCUUCGACGAGUCGAGUUGUUUGGGAAUGCAGCUCUGAAUGGGUGGUAAAUUUCAUCUAAAGCUAAAUACUGGCCGGAGACCGAUAGCGCACAAGUAGAGUGAUCGAAAGAUGAAAAGCACUUUGAAAAGAGAGUUAAACAGCACGUGAAAUUGUUGAAAGGGAAGCGCUUGCAACCAGACUCGCCCGCAGGGUUCAGCCGGCUUUCGUGCCGGUGUACUUCCCCGCGGGAGGGCCAGCUUCGGUUUGGGCGGACGGUCAAAGGCCCUCGGAAUGUAACGCCCCCCGGGGCGUCUUAUAGCCAAGGGUGCCAUGCGGCCAUUCCGGACCGAGGAACGCGCUUCGGCUCGGACGCUGGCAUAAUGGUCGUAAGCGACCCGUCUUGAAACACGAGACCAA
rnacentral:rRNA from 1 species